GGCUGGAGAGAAAGAUGGGAAUGUGACGUCCGUUCACAGCCUCAGCCUAGGCUUUCUAAGGAGAGCGCGUGUGAGGAGGAGGCACGGAAGGGGGAGACGGGCGCCUAACGCUCACGGACACGGCAAACACACGGUCUGACGACUGAAUCAAGCCCUGUACUCAGCGCCAGCAGCUCGUCCGUGACCACAGCUGCACUGAGCUCUGAAAAUGCUGGAAUUACAAGACUCCAGGAUCCGGCUCCACUGGAGACUCUCCUGGCCUCCCAGGGAGCACGUGGGGAUGACAGCCCGAGCCGACAAAGCAGACCUGCCGCUGCAUACCAGGUUGUCCCCAGAGUGAGGACUGCUCUGUGCCGGGGGCCUGAGGACACCCCAACCCGGCCCAACCCACAUUUUCAACACCCAGAAGCCUCUUGCUGAAGCUCCUCAGAGCUAACUAGGGCCGGUGCCUCCCGGUCCACCCACACCCCCAGUACUGUUCUUGACAACUGUCCAGGUGCUGCUUGCCAAGUCACUGGAAGAACUGGGCUCCACAGCUAAAGGCAGAUGACUUUCCCUGGAAGUGGCAGUGACUCACCACAGUUCUCAACAUGCGAGGUCUACUUGAGGGUAGCAGGUAACCUUUGGAGGUUUCCUGGGAGGGACUGUACCGAGCGUCCUGCAGAGGUGCACUUAUACUGGCUGGGUGCUGACGGUGCUGGGGCGGGUGCCAAGAAAGAGGCCUGUGCUAGACUAUGGGACAGGCCAGGACAGAGACCCUCUACACCUGUUGCUGGGCCAGGAGCAGACGACUCCAGGAGGUGUGGGAGGUCGGAUCAGGGUGCUCUGGGAAGAGAAGCAGCAGGGAACACUGACAAGUCUUGGCUUCUGCUGGCAGGCCACAGGCUGGCAGCCCCGUCCCCACUGCUGUCUCAGAAAACUGCAGGGUUAUCUCCACAUGGGUCUCUGCCAUGGGCAGGGAGGGAGGGGGCAGGAAGAGCCUCGGGUUCACCGCCCACUGGCCUGUCUGGCUCAGAGAGCAGGGCCCCAGGCAGGUGCCCUCCUGACACUCCCCCUCCCGAGGGGGAGCAGAGGCUCGGCUCAGUGCUCAUUCGUGGCUCCAGAGGCUUUUCUACGGCAGGCCUGCCCUCCCCAUCCACAUGGAAUCAGCUGACUUGUUGAAGGUCAGUGAAAGCCCUCAUGCUCUGUUUCUUUGCUUUGGCUCUGCAAUCUGUGUUCAUAAGGAUGAUGGACUGUAAUUUUCUCCUGAUGUUAUCUUUGUCAAGUUACAUAGCAGGGUAAUAAGGGCUUCAUAAAAUGAUUUGCAAAGUGUUCUCCCAUCUAUUUUCUGG